CCUACGGGUGGCAGCAGUGGGGGAUAUUGGACAAUGGGGGAAACCCUGAUGCAGCGACGCCGCGUGAGUGAAGAAGGAUUUCGGUAUGUAAAGCUCUAUCAGCAGUGAAGAAAAUGACAGUACCUGACCAAGAAGCUCCGGCUAACUACGUGCCAGCAGCCGCGGUAAUACGUAGGGGGCAAGCGUUGUCCGGAUUUACUGGGUGUAAAGGGAGCGUAGACGGGUAUGUAAGUCUGGAGUGAAAGCCCGGGGCCCAACCCCUGGACUGCUUUGGAAACUGUGUAACUGGAGUGCAGGAGGGGUAGGCGGAAUUCCUGGUGUAGCGGUGAAAUGCGUAGAUAUCAGGAGGAACACCAGUGGCGAAGGCGGCCUGCUGGACUGAAACUGACGUUGAGGCUCGAAAGCGUGGGGAGCAAACAGGAUUAGAUACCCGGGUAGUC
rnacentral:rRNA from 1 species